rnacentral:sRNA from 1 species
GCUGGGUACAGUGGUGCAUGCCUGUAAUCCCAGUGGCUUGGGAGGCUGAGGCAGGAGGAUCAAGAGUUCAAAACCAGCCUUAGCAACUUAACGAGACCAUGUCUCUA